rnacentral:rRNA from 1 species
AUUGAACGCUGGCGGCAUGCUUUACACAUGCAAGUCGAACGGUAACAGGGUGCUUGCACCGCUGACGAGUGGCGAACGGGUGAGUAAUGCGUCGGAACGUGCCGAGUAGUGGGGGAUAACGCAGCGAAAGUUGUGCUAAUACCGCAUACGUACUGAGGUAGAAAGUGGGGGACCUUCGGGCCUCACGCUAUUCGAGCGGCCGAAGUCGGAUUAGCUAGUAGGGGAGGUAAAGGCUCACCUAGGCGACGAUCAGUAGCGGGUCUGAGAGGAUGAUCCGCCACACUGGGACUGAGACACGGCCCAGACUCCUACGGGAGGCAGCAGUGGGGAAUUUUGGACAAUGGGCGAAAGCCUGAUCCAGCCAUGCCGCGUGUCUGAAGAAGGCCUUCGGGUUGUAAAGGACUUUUGUCAGGGAGGAAAUCCCUAGUGCUAAUAACACUGGGGGAUGACAGUACCUGAAGAAUAAGCACCGGCUAACUACGUGCCAGCCGCCGCGGUAA